UACAGGGGGUGCAAACGUUGCUCGGAAUCAUUGGGCGUAAAGCGCACGUAGGCGGUUUGUUAUGUCGGAUGUGAAAGCCCGGGGCUCAACCCCGGGUCGGCCGUGCGGACUGGCGUGCUCGAGCACUGUAGGGGCGGGUGGAAUUCCGGGUGUAGCGGUGGAAUGCGUAGAGAUCCGGAAGAACACGGGUGGCGAAGGCGGCCCGCUGGGCAGGAAGGCUCGCAAGAGCCGGCUGACGCUGAGGCGCGACAGCGUGGGGAGCAAACAGG
rnacentral:rRNA from 1 species